CCCUGGCUGGCUUUGAACCUCAAUCUUCAGAUCUCAGCUCUUAAGUAGCUAGGACUGAGCCACCAGCGCCUGGCUGAUUUAUUUUUUGACAUACAAGAAAAUAAGAACCACAUUUGAAAUUUGGAUUCUAAAUUAGUAUAUGUAAAAUGCCUAUAUCACAAUAAGAUAUUUGAAGAAAACCAAAAUUCAUUGAAAGAAAUCCUGAUAGAAAAUAUGUUUGUAUGCAUCAAUUCUGUUUCUGCUUGUGAUAUGGUUAUUCAGGUUUCCAUUUGCUCUGCCCUGAGAAAUACCUAUGAGAACACUCAUGAGGGUUUUAGGCCACAGUCCCUUGGCUGUAUUAUUUCUGGGUGAGGUAGUACCUCAGGGCAGAAGAGUGUCCUGGAGGAAAGCUGUUGAAUUCAUAGUGACCAGGAGGGGUAGAGAGAGGGAAAGAGAGUGAGAGAGAGAAUGAGACAAUGAGGAAGAGUCCCCAAACAAAAUGUACCCUUAAAAGUCACGCACAACAGGCACUGGUAGUUCACAUCUGUCAGCUACUCAGGAGGCUGAGAUCUGGGAAUCACAGUUCAAAGCCAGCUCAGGGAGGAAAGUCCAUGAGGCUCACAUCUGGAGAUGAGAUUGGGAUUAGCAACCAGAAAACCGGAAGUGGCACUGUGAUUCAAAGUGGUAGAGCACUAGCCUUGCGCAAAAGAGCUCAGGGACAGUGCCUAGACCCCGAGUUCUAGUCCCACAAAAGACAAAAAAAAAAGUCACACACAUACUGACCUACUUCCUCUAACAAGAGAACAAGGUUUCUACACAUGAGACUUUGGAGGAUAUUCCAGAUCCAAACUAUAACAAGAAGAUAGAGCAGGCUUAAAAACAUGUGGAUGGGGUCAAAUUUUUAAAGCCACUUUUGUGACAACUUGAAAAAGUAGUUCCAAGUUAGUCACCUUUGUCACAUUCACAAAGCACCUGGUAUAUUUUUUGUUAAAACCAAUUAAUACUGAAUUGCUAAUGUUAAUAUUCUUAUUCCUGGUGUGCAUACAGGAAAAACUCCAAAUCCUGUUCUUUGGGAUGGUGCAGAGGGCAAAGUGAUACCUUAAGAGUGAUCAUUACCAUUCUCCUCUUCCUUAGGUGGCUGGAGGGUAUUAAAUAGUUGAUGCUUAUAAGUGUCAAAAAGUAAAUGUUAAAUACAAGGCAGAUUCCAAUUAACUAAAGCAUUAAAAAAUUAUUGGUAUCAA